CCUACGGGUGGCAGCAGUGGGGAAUAGUGGGCAAUGGGCGCAAGCCUGACCCAGCAACGCCGCGGGAAGGAAGAAGGCUUUCGGGUUGUAAACUUCUUUUAAGAGGGAAGAGCAGAAGACGGUACCGCUUGAAUAAGCCACGGCUAACUACGGGCCAGCAGCCGCGGUAAUACGUAGGUGGCAAGCGUUGUCCGGAUUUACUGGGUGUAAAGGGCGUGCAGCCGGGAAGACAAGUCAGAGGGGAAAUCCCGCGGCGCAACCGCGGAACUGCAUUUGAAACUGUUUUUCUUGAGUACCGGAGAGGUCAUCCGACUUCCUUGUGUAGCGGUGAACUGCGUAGAUAUCAGGAAGAACACCAGUGGCGAAGGCGGAUGACUGGACGGCAACUGACGGUGAGGCGC
rnacentral:rRNA from 1 species